CUGACUGUUGUUUUAAGACAGACUUCAACAGUUGCAUAAACCUCAGUUCAAAUCACACAAUUAUUUACUUAUAAUUCAACUAAAUAUUAGGCAAAAGCCCUGCAGUCUUGUAUAACAUGCAUACAAAUGUACAAAGUACAUUAUGCAGAUAGAUGUAAAUACUUUUACAAUGAAGCAAUCUCUCUGUCUUAUUAAAGAAAGUUACAAAAUAUUUAAUGUCAAGUAAAGGUUUACUGUUUGUGAACUUCAGCCCUCUUUAUCUGGAAGAUAAAAUUCUUGUGUUGUUGCUUUAUAUAGUCUUUCUUUCUGGUUUCAUCUCAGAUAGAAUGACUGAAAAAACCCACAUAUCUCUCCAUAAUAAUAAUGUGCUUGGGCCAUUCAUUCAUUAUCUGAAUAUGAAGAUAAACUGGGCCAGAUUAACACAUUUUUACAGUCUCAGGUGAGAUUUUGUUCAUUCUCUUCUCAUCACCUCACAUUGAACAUGUUCUAAUAAUUUGUUGGAGUUUGCCCUGUGUCUGUAGGCAUAGAAAGGCAUUGUAUACUGUCAUAAUGACAGUACUAAGGGCAGGUCCAAGGGGGUCAAAGCUUUCUGUUUUUUAUUAAGCUUCGUCAAUAGGAUGAAACAGCAUCUCUCUGGAUUGCAAUGUGUCAGUCAGUUUUUUGUGGCAACAGCGUGUGUUGCGCUCGACCACAGGGAAGCCAGGAGAAGUUGGCAUUAAAAAAUAUCAAACAGAUGUAGCCGCUGCAGUGGUGGAUGAAGCAUUCACAACCUUUACUUAAGUGAAAGUGCAUUCAAAAAGUUUCUUAAGAAAAAAAUGUUAGAAAAAAAAUUCUGAAAAGUAAAAUAACUCAUUAACUCAGUUACUGAUAACUGUAUUAACAUUAGAUCACAUUUUUGAUGUUGUAGCUUUGAAUGUAGUGAACAUUUUAACUACUUUAUACACAUUUGAGUAUGAAAAUGCAUCAUAUCUUAUAAUCUCAACAAAGGUUUUGUGUACAGUAUAAAAUAUUAACAUGCAUAGUAACCAGUAAUUCAACUGUCAGAUAAGUAAAAAAUACAAUAUAUCUCACUGAAAUGUAGUGGAGUUUAAGUAUAAACUAACAUAAAAUGUGAAUACUCCAGUGAAGUACAAAUACCUUUAAACAUUUAUUUAAAUAAGGUCGUUUCCACCACUGGAACAGCGCUCCUGCCAAAUUAGCAUGUUAGCAGCAUUAUUUAAGUAAUUAUUUGAAACUGAACUGAGAAACAACUGAGAAAGGUAGCUGUUUGUCUUGUGCCGCUCAUGACAGCUGUCAUGCUUUUGUACUGUACUACUAUAAGACUACUGAAGCACCAUGGAGAAGAGCCUGGAAUAUACCCAUUUUUGAAAUUGUUGGCAGGCAAGUCACUUGUUGAGCCAUGUAGUAGCCUUAGUUUGGUACUUUUUGUGGUAUUUAACCAAAA